rnacentral:rRNA from 1 species
UACGGGGGGGGCAAGCGUUGUUCGGAAUUACUGGGCGUAAAGGGCUCGUAGGCGGCCAACUAAGUCGGAUGUGAAAUCCCCAGGCUCAACUUGGGAACUGCAUCCGAUACUGGAUGGCUUGAAUUCGGGAGAGGGAUGCAGAAUUCCAGGUGUAGCGGUGAAAUGCGUAGAUAUCUGGAGGAGUACCGGUGGCGAAGGCGGCAUCCUGGACCGACAUUGACGCUGAGGAGCGAAAGCUAGGGGAGCAAACGGG